UACGUAGGGGGCUAGCGUUGUCCGGAUUUAUUGGGCGUAAAGAGCGUGUAGGCGGCCAGGUAGGUCUGCUGUGAAAACUCGAGGCUCAACCUCGAGACGGCGGCGGAAACCAUCCAGCUAGAGUCCGGAAGAGGAGAGUGGAAUUCCUGGUGUAGCGGUGAAAUGCGCAGAUAUCAGGAAGAACACCCGUGGCGAAAGCGGCUCUCUGGGACGGUACUGACGCUGAGACGCGAAAGCGUGGGGAGCGAACAGG
rnacentral:rRNA from 1 species